UGAGGAACACGUGAGGAAUCUGCCUUCAACACUGGGAUAACUCCGGGAAACCGGGGCUAAUACCGGAUACGAGACCUGCAGGCAUCUGCGGGUCUGGAAAGUUUUUCGGUUGAAGAUGACCUCGCGGCCUAUCAGCUUGUUGGUGAGGUAAUGGCUCACCAAGGCGACGACGGGUAGCCGGCCUGAGAGGGCGACCGGCCACACUGGGACUGAGACACGGCCCAGACUCCUACGGGAGGCAGCAGUGGGGAAUAUUGGGCAAUGGAGGGAACUCUGACCCAGCGACGCCGCGUGCGAUGAAGGCCUUCGGGUUGUAAACCGCUUUCAGCAAGGCAAGAAGCGGAAAGUGACGGUACUUGCAGAAGAAGCACCGGCUAACUAUGUGCCAGCAGCCGCGGUAAUACAUAGGGUGCAAGCGUUGUCCGGAAUUAUUGGGCGUAAAGAGCUCGUAGGUGGUACGUCACGUCGGAUGUGAAAAUCUGGGGCUUAACCCCAGACCUGCAUUCGAUACGGGCGAGCUUGAGUAUGGUAGGGGAGUCUGGAAUUCCUGGUGUAGCGGUGGAAUGCGCAAUAUCAGGAGGAACACCAAUGGCGAAGGCAGGACUCUGGGCCAUUACUGACACUGAGGAGCGAAAGCGUGGGGAGCGAACAGGAUUAGAUACCCUGGUAGUCCACGCCGUAAACGGUGGGCACUAGUUGUGGGGACCUUCCACGGUCUCUGCGACGCAGCUAACGCAUUAAGUGCCCCUGCCUGGGGAGUACGAUCGCAGAUUAAAACUCAAAGGAAUUGACGGGGCCCCGCACAAGCAACGGA
rnacentral:rRNA from 1 species